rnacentral:piRNA from 1 species
UGAUGGUGUCUUCCUAAACAAGUAUGGC